CAACCCUUAAGCCCUCGUUGCUUAGUGUUGGGAACAUACAGCGAUGUAGUUCCUCAAAGUUAGUGGCGGAGUCGGUUCACACUCUAGGCGUAGUAAAUUUUAUCUCGUCUCUGUAGUUGGAUCGUCCCCCGCCGUAAAACACCCCAAUUUCUAAA
rnacentral:misc_RNA from 1 species